UUCAGCUUGGCAGAAAAAUGCAAUAAAUUUAGAAUUUAUUUAUGAGUAUAAUUCAGUUGAAA
rnacentral:tRNA from 1 species